rnacentral:rRNA from 1 species
UACGUAGGGCGCGAGCGUUGUCCGGAAUUAUUGGGCGUAAAGAGCUCGUAGGCGGCCUGUCGCGUCCGCUGUGAAAACCCGGGGCUCAACCCCGGGCCUGCAGUCGAUACGGGCAGACUAGAGUGCGGUAGGGGAGACUGGAAUUCCUGGUGUAGCGGUGGAAUGCGCAGAUAUCAGGAGGAACACCGGUGGCGAAGGCGGGUCUCUGGGCAGUAACUGACGCUGAGGAGCGAAAGCGUGGGGAGCGAACAGG